GAAUUUAAAAAUGAUUUUUGUCUCCUGUCAACUUUUAGGAAUUUGUCACCAAACUGAAUAUGAAUGAAGAGUUCUGGAUUGGUCUGAAGACUGAAUGGACAGAGCAACAAUGGAAAUGGAAAUGGGUGGAUGGAUCACCACUGAAAGAAACGUUUGAGGUGACAGGAGAGCUGAAAUAUCACACAGACAAGUUCUAUGUAGCAUUCAGCGAUCAACGUGGAGAAUGGACAAAAAGUCGCUAUUAUGAUUAUCAUCAGAAGACCUGGAUCUGUGAGAAAUAGAUUUCCAGCUUCUCUUGAUGACAGAGAGGUGUUUGUAGUGUUGGAUGAAGCUGUUUGUUAAACUCUGAAAUGUUCUACAUGAUCCUCAGAGUCAUCUCCCAUUUGUUCCCUUGUUCAUUCUGUGUCACAUGUUCAAUCCUCUUGAUGACACAGAUAUUGUCCCUCUGUGCUCUAUGGUGCAGACAGAGUAGUGGGGUUGGAAGUGGUCCACACAACAACUCCAUGUGACCUUACUGACUCUGUAGUCCCACACAGUGUUGAAUAAAAGUCACCUGCAGGUCGUCUUUACUUUGGUUUAUUAAGGCGUCUGUUGCUGCUCAAACUGCUCUAAGUGUCUUCUUCAUUUUCUCUGAUCCACCUGGAGUCAGCAGCUGAUUCUUUUUACCUUCAUCAGGAGUCAAACACCUGAGAAGUGAGUCGUGUUUAUUGAUAAAUCAUGAAUAAUAUCAGUCUAAUCAAUUCAGAACAACUUUCCUUGUCCUUCCAUUUCCAUGUCUCAUCUAGUUUUUCUUCCAGCUUCGUUUGCAUCAUAGUCUUGUAAGAACUCAUCAAAAAAGUGUGUUUCAGUCUCAGGAAAAUAAACUUUGAAGUUUAAUUGAUGCUCAUAUUGAUUUAAUUCAGUAUUCAACUCGUGUCCAACACGUGUGUCUUUAAUGUGGAGAUAUAAAACAUAAAUGAUUAGAAAUCUGUGUGGUCAGUGAGCAGGUUAUGAAUCAAACUUUGAUAACAGGAACUAGAGUUUAUGUCUCUACAUAUGAUCAAGAUGUUUUCUAAAUCUGGAACAUUUUAGCUUUCAAACUUUUAGCAGACCACAUAUUAAAUGUUUUAUUGGAGGAUGCUCUACCAGACACUUUGUCUCUGACCAACAUACAUCAACAGGUGAGUAGGUGGGAUGGCUGAGGUCAAUUCACAAUAUCAGGUGACUUGAAACAAUAGAGUGAAGACAAGGUCUGGUUUCACUGUAGCUGAGAGACAAACACUCAAAAACUCAAACAGGACAUGUGAAGCUGUAAAAGUCCUCAGCUGAGGGAAAAACAUCCAUUAAUACGUCUCCUGAAAACACAGUUCUUUGACUGAAAGCAGGUCGUCAAUAAACGUUUCCACUGAUCUAAAAAUCUAAAUCAAACUCCAAUUAUCAAGAACUUAAAUCCACAGUCAGAGAACAGGUCAGAAGAUUCAUGGUGAACUUACAGAACCAACAGGAUCCUGGUCCAUCAGGAUGUUAAGCUGGAGACUGUCUUACUGGUUUUUACUUCCUUAAUGUUCUAUUAAAAGCUGCCUGAAAGUCACAGAACAACACAGAAACAGACAGUGACUGGUCCCAAAGUGAGUUUUUAGCUUUGUGUUCCUCAACAUGUCGACAGAAAUUCAAUCUGUGUCAGAUCUGUGUUAGAGGAUGGAGAGCAGCUCACUGAUGUUGGUUCACAGCAAG
rnacentral:lncRNA from 1 species